GGGCGUGGAGGGGCGGGCCCGUGGGCGGGGCCCGGCGCGCCACCAGGGCAGUGGGGGGCCCGGCCCCUCCUGGGAGGGUCGGGCGUUGUGGGACUGCGCGCGCUCAGGCGGCCGCCCUAGUCUCCUGUCCCCUCACCUGUCCCCUUAGCUGUCCCAUCUCCUGUUCCCUCUCCUGUCCCUCACCUGUCCUAUCUCCUGUCCUCCUGUGCCCUCAGCUGUCCCCUCAGCCCCCCUCAGUUCCCCCAGAGGCCCUUAGCCUCGGAACGGGCGCGUGGCUGUGCCCUGCGGCUGCAGGAGGCCGAGGGGACGAAGCGCAGCUGUUCCUGAGGCGAGUGGGUGACCGCAGAGCGGGAGCGCUGUCCCGCCUGGCAGCCUGGACGCCGGCCCUCCUCCUGGACGGACUAGUGGGACAGAAUCAUUGAAUGCGUAAGCUGAAAGGACUCUGGACCAGUCCUCUAAUGGAACAGAUGAAGAGAACUCACCCAGAGACCAAGGACCUGGCCAGCACUCCUAUCCCAGGGCUUUAUCACCACCACACAUGGUCUCGGGGACCACGUUCAUUGAAUGCCUACCACUUGGUCUGUAUCAUAUUUGAUUUUACAGAGAAAUAACAGUCACCUUUUCCUCCCUAUUGCAGAAGGUAUUCUUGUGACUUUGAUAGUGAGAAUGCAUUUAAGAAACAUUUUUAAAGCACAUCUUUCCAAAUGCGAAAAUGAAUAUGUGGAUGUUUUUGGUCUUGUACAUUCAAUAAUAUGAAACUACAGUGACUGAAAGAGUAUAACUAAAGUAGGAAAGAACACUCUCUUUUCUCCCUAAAAAUGUGUCAGAAUCAUUGCGCUUAUAAAAGCCUGGAAUCCCAAAAGUCAUUGAUGAAAAAUAUGAUUGGAAUAGCUCCAAUUAGAUACUUUCUAAAAUAGUUUUCUUUCCUCUUUCUCAAGUAUUUUAAGCUACAGAGAAGCUCCUUAACUGUAAUAGGGUUCACUGAAGACUGACUCUUCAGAGCUGAGCAGAGCCCAGGCUGCCCUCAAGCGCAUGUGUGGGAGAGAUGCUCUCAGUUCAAGGCAGGCUCUCUGUACCCUGAAAUCUGGCUAAAGCUGCACAGUGCUACGAAGACAACUUGUGAGGAAAGAGCGGGGAGUGUGCAGGAAAGCAACAGAGCCUGGCUCUCAGGGAAGAUCACGGUACAGGGGCCAAAUAGUCUGGGUUGGGCCUGGUCCCCAGUCCCCAGCAAACUUGGAAACACCACGAAAUCACUUCAGAGUCUCUCAAACAAUAUGUCACUGUGAAGUCUUUAAAUUCUAUACCAGCUCUGUAACUCUUUAUUUUCAUCGCUUAAUCCAGGGGUCCCCAACCCACUGUGCGAGGCCUGUUAGGAACCAGGGGGCACAGCAGGAGGUGAACAGUGGGUGAGAGAGAGAGAGAGAAGCUUCAUCCGUUGCUCCACACUGCUUGCAUUACCACCUGAAUCACGCCCGCCACUGUAGCUCACAUUACUGCCUAAACCAUCCCCCCUGCUUCCGUGGAAAAAACUGUCUUCCACGAAACUGGUCCCUGGUGCCAAAAAAGUUGGGGACCGCUGGAAUCGGUUUGCCACAAUUUACCAUGUAACCUCUUGUAAUUCUCAUUAGGUUUCAGCAGCUUUGGACUUGUCACUUACCUUGACAUCGGAGCUCUACAAAAUUGUCUAAAUUAAUGAAAAAUUCCAUAGAGCAUGAUAUCACGUAUCUUAAGAGACUGCCUUUCUGUUAAUGUUAUUCAUUGGCUACUAGACUUAUCUACCUGUGGUUAACCUAUCUCAAAAGUUAGCAAAUAUUAUUCAGCAGAAACGAAUGUUUCUAAUACAGUGUGUCAAAAAUUACAUGAAAUUUUCCCCAAGAUAUAGUCCCUAAUACAAUUUUUGCUUCUCUUAUUAUGUUACAAAUGAUAAAAUGACUGCCUGAAAGUUGAAGUUGUCUUGAAGAGUUUAGCACCCUCAUAAAAACACUUCUAUAUAGACUUUUUCUUAUUUGAACACAUUACUUUUUUUAAUGAUUUCUUCUGAAAUAAUUAUAAACUGACAGGAAGUUGCAAAAAUAGGACAGUAAAGCCCCAAGUAAUCUUCAUCCGGUUUUCCUAAUUGGUUACAUUUUAUGUAACAAUAGGAUACUAUCAAAGCUGGGAAAUUGACAUUGCUACAAGGUAUAUGUGUGCCACAUUAUCACAUGUGUUGCCACCACCAAGAUCAAGAUACAUAACUGUUCCAUCACCACAAAGAUCUCCCUCCUGUUACCCCUAUAUAUAGUCACAGUUACCUUCCUCCCACCCUGGCCCCCAUGCACCAUCCCUAAAACUUGGCAACCACUUAUCUGUCUCCUUCUUUGUCAUCUUGAGAAUGCUAUAUAAAUGUAUUCAUAUAAUAUGUGACCUUCAAACACCAACCUCAAAUGUUGGCUUUUUUCACCCAGCAUGUUUUUUGAGAUCCAUCCAAGUACUUGCAUGUAUCAGUAGUUAAUCCUUUUUACUGUUAAGUAGUGUUUCAUAGUAUUAAUGUACCACGGUUUGUUUAACCAUUCACUUAUUCUAGAACAUUUUUAUUGUUUCUAGUUUGGGACUAUAACAAACAAAGCUGCUAGAAACAAUCAUGUAGAGAUAUUUGCAUGGACAUAAAAUUUAAUUUCUCUGGGAUGAACGUAUAUGAUACUUUUGAACAUUUUUGGAAAACCAGUGUAUAUAAUUAUGUUGUUCUGUUGCUUCUUAUGUCACUGAAAGAAAAGGAUGAACUUGGUGAUUUGAACUCCCAGCUCAAGUGCCACAUAAAUGACCAUGUGCCCUGAAGGAGACCACUGUCUCCUGUAGCUACAGGGCUGGAAAUCAAGCACAGAACCUCAUCGUGCGACUGGUUGAAUUACAAUGCAAGUUGAACUCCCAGUUUUGAAGGGCAUCUACUGUUGAAUCAAUGUGAGGGCAUUGAUUGGGAAAGAACUGGAUCUUAGAAGUUGGGAUGGGGACCCGUGGGAAGAUCCUGAUGAAGCUGGGGAUAUUGAGCCCCUAAACUGUGAUGAAUCUUUUAUCACCAGUGGUAUUGGCCUCCCCAGCCCCAGCAGAGAUGGCUUCCUCAACCCCAGUGGAAGCGGCCUCUCUACAUACAGGGUAUCAGCCUUUCCUUCUCCUUCUGAGAGGAUUAACCCUGCAUUGCCUGAGGAAAGGGUCAUAGCCUCCCCUGACGCAAUUGUCAUGUAACAUAAUUAUUAGUCUCCUCAGGACCCACCCCUACCACCCCACCUUACUUCUGGACCUUUAACUAGACUAAAGCUCAGCAGGUCCCUAAAGGUGGGAUACAAUCUGUGACUCAUGAGGAAGUGCAUUACAUUCCAAAAUAAUGACUUCCAUUUUCUAAGUUACACAGACAAAAUCUUGGGAAAUGUGUGGGAAUAAGUACUAAAGGUGUGGGAAAAUGGAAGAAGGAAUUCCUUAUAAGGUUGAAGGAGGCUGAAUGUAUGGGCUCACUAAAUAGGGCUUCUGCAUUUACUGUUGCAGCUUGAGGAAUUAGAAAGGGCUCUAGCAGUUUUGUUGGUUGGUUGGCUGAAACAUAGGCCAAAAGGUGGCCCCCCAUGAGUACCCUGGAAAUGCUGGACUUGCCUCAGUUUAAGCUAGAGAAGAACUUCAGAGGCUUAGGGAUAGAGGAAUGUUAGAGUAGAUUUGUCACUUAAAACCUGCUCACCUGACUGGGGGGUUCCAGAAGUUUUACCUUCCAUCAAUAGUGUGAGGAAUAAAUCUAUGAGAGGAUCCCCAAUAUCCUUUGUGGACAAAGAAUGUCACCUGCCAUACCAGUAAACAAAGGAUGUUGCAGCCACCAAGCCACCAGCCACUGCAGCCACCCCUGAUAGUGCACCCGGAGGGGAUUUAAGAUGUAGAAAAACAGGAUACUGGCCCUAGAUAGUUUAGGUGCAUAUCAAAGGAAUAAUUGUAUUAAUCCCAGAUUCUUACAUCUUCCCAUACAUAGAAAAGUGUUAAAAUCGUUAACUUGAGAUGUCUGGUUUUCCUUUAAUUAGCAGGAAAGUUUUGAUGUUUGAUUACUUGGGUUUUUUUGGCAAAACUCCUAUAUAUUCUGUUUCUCUUUGGAACUGUCCCCAGAGCUAUCUGAGAGGCUGUAUCCCAGGUUUAAGUCCUCAGUUAUGUUCUAAAUGCAACAUAAUUUUCAGCUUUUAAGUUGCGCAUUUUUUUUCAGUUGACACCUUGAAUACUCUAUGGUUGCUUUCUCUGUAGAUCAGACCUCACAGUGGGAAAUGCAGUCACUGCAUUGGGAAACAUAAAUGCAAAGAGGGUAAUUGAAUCCUGAGGUGGUAGGGGCCAAGUGACAAUAUUCAACCACUGAAGGCAAAGUGGACAUGGUUACCUUAAUGUACAGCAGAGUCAAAGCAGCAAUCAGAAUAGUCUGACUCAUGCUGACUUAUGGUGUUGAUUAAUUGAUCAUGGUGUUCCUAGAAGUGAAAUAGAUAGGAAGCCUACUAAAUUUGUACUUAUCUGUAUAAGCAGAAAAGUUCUAGGUCAAGUGAAUAAAAGUCGAACCUAAAUCAUAAAAACAGAGAGUCACAUCCCUUCAAUACAUUCCUAGACAUGAGCCAGUUUAUGGAUCCCAAACCCCUGGAAUGAAGGAGAGGCUGGGCCCCAUUGAGGAAGGAUCCCAGUGCACUCUGAAAGUUUAUACUGUCAAUUCUUGCCCCAGCCUUCCCCAGAAUGAUGUUUGGCAUUUUACCAGAGUAACUGUGCAUUGGGGAAAAGGAAAUUAUUAGACCUUUUGGGGAACAAUGGACUCUGGCUUUGAAAUGAUACUAAUUCCAAGAGACCUAAAACAUUGCAGGGGCCCAAAAGUCAGAGUAGAGCUUAUGGAAGUCAAGCGACUAAUGGAGUUUUAGCUCAGUGCUGUCUCACCAUGGGCCCAAUGGUUCUCCAAACCAAUCAUGUGGUUAUUUCUCCAGUUCUGGAAUGUAUACUUGGUAUAGACAUAUUUAGCAGCUGGCAGAUUCUCCACAUUUGUUCCCUGACCUGUGGAGGGAGGGUUAUUAUGAUGGGAAAGACGAAGUAAAAGCCAGGAGAACUGCCUCUACCUAGGAAAACAAUAAAUAAAAUUUAAUACCACAUUCAUGGAGGGACUGCAGUGUUUACGGCCAGCAUCAAGGACUUGAAGGAGGCAGGGGUGGUGAUUCCUACAACAUCCUAUCUGGCCUGUGCAGAAGAGAGAUGGAUCUUGAGAAUGACAGUAGAUUAUCAUAAUCUUAACCAGGUGGUGACUCCAAUUGUAGCUGUUGUUGCAGAUGUGGUUUCAUUGCUUGAGAAAGUUAACACUCACCCUGGUAAAUGGUAUGUAAGUUUAUGGAUUUGGUCUGGAAAAUGCCUUUUUAUCCAUCCCUGUCCAUUAGGCCCACCAGAAGCAGAUUGCUUUCAGCUGGCAAGGCCAGUAAUACACCUUCACUGUCCUACCUCAUGAGUAUAUCAACUUUCCAGCCUGAUGCCAUUAUUUAGUUUGCUAGAAAAUACACCUGACUCUCCCUUCCAUAAGAUAUCACACUGGUCUAUUACAUUGCUGACACUAUGCUGGUUGGAUCUAGUGAACGAGCAGUAGCAACUACUCUAGAUUUGUUGGUAAGGUAUUUAUGUGUCAGAGGACAGAAAAUAGAUAAGACAAAAUGCCAUGGCCUCCUACAUCAGUGAGAUUUCUAGGGGCCCAGUGGUAUGAGCCAUGUCAAGAUAUCCCUUCUAAGGUGAAGGAUAAGUUGUCGUCUCUGACACCUCCUACAACCAAAGCACAGGCACAGCUCUUAGUGAUUUCUUUGGGUUUUGGAGGCAACAUAUUCCUCAUCUGGAUGUGUUACUCCAGACUUUUUAAUGAAGUGACUCCAAAAGCUGCUAGUUUAGGCUGGAACCCAGAACAAGAGAAGGCUGUGUAACAGGUCCAGGCUGCAGUGCAAGCUGCUUUGCCACUUGGGCCAUAAGAUCCAGAAGACACAACGGUGUUGACGUGUCUGUGGCAAAUAAGGAUGCUGUCUGGAGCCUCUUGAAGGCCCGCAUAGGUGAAUCAAAGCACAGGCCUUAAGAACUGUGGAGCAAGGCCCUUCCAUCAUUUUGGUAACUAGUCUCCUUUUGAGAAACAAGAGGUCUGCUACUGAACUUUGUAGAGACUGAACACUUAACCUUGGGCCAUCAAGUUACCAUGUGACCUGAGCUGCCCAGCAUGAACUAAGUGGAAUCUUAACCACCAAGCCAUAACAGAGGCCAUGCACAGCAGCACUCCAUCGUCAAAUGGAUAUGGUAUAUAUGUGAUCAGGCCAGAGCAGGUCUUGAAGGCACAAGUAAGUUCCAUGAAGAAGGAGCUCAAAGGCCCACAGUCCUCACUUCGGCUACACUACCUUUUCUCUCCCAGCCUGCACCUAUGACGUCAAGGGGACUUCCCUACUAUUAAUUGACGGAGGGAGACUCAGGCAGGCCUGGUUUACAAAUGGUUCUGCACAAUAUGCAGGCACGACCCAAAAGUGGAUAGCUACUGCCCUCAGCCCCUCUCUGAGACAUCUCUGAAGGAUAGUGGUGAAGAGAAAUCCUCCCAGUGGGCAGAACUUGAGGCCAUGCACCUGGCUGAGGGAGAAACACUUGGAAGGAGAAAUGGUCAGACAUGCUGGGUGGUCAGGAAUUGAAAAAAGCAUGACUGGAAAGUUGGUCAUAAAGAAAAUUGGGGAAGAGGUAUGUGAACAGAUUUCUCUGAAUAGUUGAAAAGCAUGAAGAUAUUUGUGUCUCAUGUGAAUGCUCAUCAUCAAAGGGUGAUCUCAGCAGAGGAGGAUUUUAAUUCUCAAGUAGAUAGGAUGACCUGUUCUGUGCAGACCAGUCAGCCUCUUUCCCCAGCCACCCCUGUCAUUGCCCAACGGGCUCAUCAACAAAGUGGCCAUGGUGACAGGGACGCAGGUUACGCACGUGCUCAGCAAUAUCGACUUCCACUCAUCAAGGCUGACCUGGCUACAGCCACUACUGAAUUCCCAAUCAAAAAGAAUCAACCAGCAGCAGAGACCAACAGUGGGCCCUCAAUAUGGUGUUAUUCCCCGGGUGAUCAGCCAGCUAGUCAGUGGCAGACUGAUGACACUGGACAGCUUUCAUUGUGCAAGGGGCAGUAUUUUGUUCUUAUUGGAAUAGACAUUUGCUCUGGGUACAGAUUUGCCUUUCCUGCAUACGUCACUUCUGCGUAACUACCAUCCAUGAUCUUACAGAAUGACUUAUCAUUGUCAUGGGAUUCUGCAAGCAUUGCUCAAGAUCAAGGAAUACAUUUCACAGCAGAUGAAGUGAGGCAAUGGGCCCUUGGAAUUCACUAGUCUUACCUGAAGCAGCAGGCUGGAUAGAAUGGUGGAAUGGCCUUCUGAAGACUCAGUUACAGGGCUGCCUAUGUGACAAUACCUCUGCUUGUCCCAGGGCAAGGUUCUCCAGAGGGUUGUAUAUGCUCUGAAUCGGAGUCCAAUAUAUGGUCCUCUUUCUUCCAUAGCCAGGAUUCUCGGGUCCAGGAAUUUUAAGGGACAAAAAUGAGAAGAGUUAUUUUCAACUCUUCAGUAUUAUCCCUAGUGACCCACUAUCAAAUUUUUGCUUUUUGUUCCUGUGACCUUAUGCUCUGCUGGUCUGAGUUCCAAAGGGGAAAAUGCUUCUACCAGGAGACACAGCAAUGAUUCCAAAGAACUGGGAGUUAAGACUAACACCCAGCUACCUUGGGCUCCUCAUGCCUCUGAAUCAACAGACAAAGAAGGAAAGGAAAGUGUUUGUUGAUACAAGGAUACUACUUGCGGACUACUCUUCCACACGGAAGUAAGGAAAAGUGUAUCUGGAUAUAGUAGAUCGCUUAAGGCAUCCCUUAGUAUUACCAUGUUCUUUGAUUAAGCUCAGUGGAAAACUACAACAACCCAAUCUAGGCAGGGCUACUAAUGACCCAGACUAUUCAAGAAGGAAGGAUUUGGUCACCCACCAGGGAAGAACCACGAUCUGCUGAGGUGCUUGCUGAAGAUAGAAAGAAUACAGAAUGGGUAGAAGAAAGUAGUUACAAAGACCAGCUAUAACUGACCACUUACAGAAACCAGGACUGUAAUUGUCAUGAGUACACCAUUUUUUUUUGCUAUGAAUAUAUUUGUGUUAAGUGUGUAUUUGUUUUUUCUCUCUCAUAUUCCCUUAUUAUGUAACAUGAGUUGUAUUGAUUUUAUAUCAUAAUAUGUAAGUACUCUUAAUUUUACAUUAUAGUACUUUAAGUUAUAUCACAAUGAUUUACCUCCUCUUCUGGGGAUAGGGUUAGUGUAUUUUGAUUGGACUCAGAAUUGUUGUAUCAUAUUAAGUGGAAUUAAGACCUUGUUAUUGUCUUAUUUGGGGAUUAAGUAAGAUUUGAGGAGAUGCAUAUGGGUGUCAUGUUGACACAGGGUCGACUUGUGAUGAUUAGUUUCAUGUGUCAACUUAACUGGCUAUGGGGGACCCAGAUUAACAAUUAUUUCUGGGUAUAUUUUGUGAGGGAAUUUCCAGGUGAAAUUAGCAUUGAAAUUGGUGGACUCAGUAAGUUGAUUGCCCCCCCCCCAAUGUGGGUGGACAUCAUCCAGUCUGUUGAGGGCUUGAAUAGAACAAGAGCUGGGGGAGGGAAGAAUUUGCCCCUUUUUCCUGCCUCAUGGUGUGAGGUGAGAUAGUUCAUCUUCUCCUGACCUCAGACUGGAAUUUAUAUCACCACCUCCCCUGGUUCUCAGGCCAUUGGACUAGGAUUGAAUUAUAUCACUAGCUUUCUGGGGUCUCCAGCUUACAGAUGGCAGACUGUGGGAUUUCUCGGCUUCCAUUAUCAUAAGAGCUAAUUCCCUGUUACAAACACAUGCAUGUAUUCUAUAGGUUCUGCUUCUUUGGAGAAUUCUGACUAAUACAACAUGUAUCCACCACUGUAAUAUCACACAGAAUACUUUUACUGACCUAAGAAUCCCCUGUGUUCCACCUAUUCAACCUACUCUUCCCUUCCUCCUCCCAAACCCCCAACAACCACUGAUCUUUUUACGGUCUCCAUAGCUUUGCCUUCUAAAAUAUCAUAUAGUUAAGAAUUAUACAGUACGUAGCCCUUUCAGAUUGGUUUAUUUCACCUAGUAAUAUGCAUUUAAGUUCCUCCAUGUCUUUUCAUGGGUAGUUUAUUUCCUUUUAUUGCUGAAUAAUAUUCCGUUGUAUGAAUGUGGAACAGGUUUUUGUUUGUUUGUUUGUUUGUUUUUAAUCCAUCCAUCCAUCUAUGGAAGGGCACCUUGGUUGCCUCUAAUUUUUGGCAAUUAUGAACAAAGCUGCCACAAUCAUUCAUGUGCAAGCUUUUGUAUGGACGUAAAUUUUCAGCUCUUUGGGGUAUAUACCAAAGAGCUUGAUUGCUGCAUUUUAUGGUAAAUGUAUAUUUACUCUUUUAUUAAACUGCCAAACUGUC